rnacentral:lncRNA from 1 species
GUGUGUGUGCAUGCAUGCGUGUGUGUGUGUGUGUGCAUGCGUGCGUGCGUGCGUGUGUGUGUGUGUGUGUGUGUGUGUGUGUGUGUGUGUGCCCGCAUUUGUUUUCUCUUUCUGAAACGAUCUCCCUCUGGAUGCCAGUCUGUCCUGGUCCUUGACACAGUCCUUCCUACUUAGUCUCCCCCAUGCCGGGACUCCAGGCAUGAAAGCACCCGGCUCAGCGCUUGGUGCUUUUCUUCUCUGGAUUUCCCCUGACUCCCGUCCCAUUUUGUUAAAGUGACCGACUCUCUGCAAAUGUCCGAGGAACAAAUACUUUUUGGUCAGUGAAGUGUGUGCACUGGGGUCGGGCUUGGAAGCACAUGAAGGUGAUGGGGGUUCUGUCUGUGAGCUCUUGGCUGUUGCAUUUCUCUCUACUUCCACCGGUUGGCUGCAGGGCUAGGGCAGGGCAGAGACCGGAAUAGAAGAGCUAAAUUUAUCCUGGGAGCCCGGGCGUGGCUGCGGCUCAGGCCGCGCGGCCUGGAUGGAGGCGGUGCUCGGUGGCCGCCCUCCCGGAGCUGGUUUCCUCCCUGGGAAAGCAGGUCUCUCCGCGGUGCUGAGGAGCUCGGGCUGGAAUUUCCCCGCAGCGCCGCCCCGCCGGGAGGGACCAGGAGGGAUCUACCCGAGCCCGAUGAGCAGCCCGGGGAGACGCCCGAAACCCAGAACCUGCGCGUUAAAACUGAAAACUUUCCUCCCUUCCACCAUGUCAGUCCCAGGGAUCGAACUUACGCGGUCAGGCACGGUGGUGAGAACAGGCCUCAUUGGGCCUGGUAUAACAGGGUUCUAAUCUCAGCUACCUUCAGGCUGACACUGGAAGCUAGAGAAUUCAAGACCUGCCUGGAAUACAGAGACCCUAGCACAAACCCGAAACCAAUAAAUAACAAAAUCUUCGCUUGAGGAGAUAAGAGGUAAAUGACGGGACAGAGCUAAGGACAAAGGACAGCAAACGGGAUGCCAGUGGUACAAGCGCUUCAUCUCACAGACAAACCCACCGGAGAUGUUUGCUUCCUUGUGGGAAUUCGGCCUGUGUCCCUCUCUUCCCACCAAGGCAGUCUCUAGGCAGAACAGAAGAAAUCACUUAAGUGAUUAAGUACUGAAGGAACCAAGGAGCUAGACGCCAUGGUCUAGAGAAAACUGGGUUGAAUCUUGCUUACAGCAGGAGUGUCUAAGAAGGCCUUGCUUGUCCAGUUCCUAUGAGGUGGUGGCACUGAGUGAGGCCAUUGGUGGGGCCUGAUGUAGAGCAGCUCACAUCCCUUUAGGACAAGGGCUGGCCUUAGCCGGGGCCCUCCCUCAGUUCACAAAGGAUGUGGGAGUUAGCCUGUGGGCAGGAGGGAAUCCAGCUGUGUGGGAACAGGAUGGGUGGGUGAGAGUAUUUAGCCUCAGGGAGCAAAUAGAAGAACCCAGAAGGGAGGGGACCCUAGCUAUGGCCUCUCCAAAGAGCUGACAAAGACUGAACUUUGGUGAAAUGAUCUUUCAUAAUAGCAUGUGGCUGUUUGGUGGUUUUUGUUUUGGUUUUUUGCUUUUUCAAGACAGGGUUUCUCUGUAGCUUUGGAGGCUGUCCUGGAACUAGCUCUUGUAGACCAGGCUGGUCUCGAACUCACAGAGAUCCACCUGCCUCUGCCUCCCGAGUGCUGGGAUUAAAGGCAUGUGCCACCAGCGCCUGGCUUGUGUUUGUUUUUUAAAGAUUUAUUUGUAUUGUAUGUGCAAAGAUGUUUUGCCUGUAUGUAUGUGUGAGGACAUCAGAUCCUCUGGAACUGGGGUUAUAGGCUGUGUGAGCUGCCAUGUGGGUGCUGGAAAAUGAACCCCGGGUCUCUUGAAGAUCAGCCAGAGCUCCUAACUGCUGAACCAUUUCUCCAGCCCUUGUGGGUUGGUUUGUUUUUGAGAUAGGGUCACUUUAAGUAACAAAUCUCUGGCUGUCCUGGGACUCACUUUGUAGACCAAGUCUGGCCUCGAACCUACAGAGAUCCUCUACACUUGCCUGAGUGUAUGGAUGAAGGCCACCACACCUUCUCUUUACUGUUUCGGAAAGAAAUCGAUCCAUAGGGUGCUGACGUAAUGAGGGUGGUGCAGAGACCAGCCGGUACCCACAGGGCUGACCCCUCCUACCCUGUACAGCGGGCACAGUUCCGGACUUCCUGACCUCCAGAUCAGGCCUCUGGAAGCAGCCUCCUACAGGCAGUUGGAAGGGCGUAAUCCCAGAAUUACCCCCUUUUCCCGGGCCAGGCAUCCACUUAAUCCAGGGCUCUUCCCUUUCAAAUUCACCUUCCUCAAACUGGUCCCCAGCCUGGAGGCUGCACUAUGAACCUCCCUAGAAAGCAAAAAGCCUUUAAAAUCCGGUAACUAGGGCAAUAGCAAGGACGGUAAGGUCACAGGCACCCACACUGAAUUCACCUUAGUGUGGGCAGGAUCGGGCCACGAAAGCAAUUCAGAGUACAGUAGGGACCGAAGGACCUUAUGCCUGCCCAAGGUUAAUGACAGGAGUCCGCCUUUACUGUCCACCCCAUCGCUCUAUGUCAGCUCUCUGUUUCCUGUCAUCCCGAGGGUCUCGGAGACCACGAGAGAGAUAUGCAUCCAGCCUGAGUGUGUCCAUCCCGUUUUCCACCCAUGAGCUGAGUCCGCACUGCGGACACACCACGGUCUCCCUGCCGUGACCUGUGAGCACGCGCAUUCCUCCACCUGGGACCCGCAGUUAUGCAGCAGCAGGUCGCUGGGCAUAACUGCCUUGCGGGCUGCCCCGCACUGCCCUUCCCUUCCCGGAGGCAGGUGCGUCCCCCGACCUCUGUGAGUCCUUGCAGCCUCCCCGAGGGACUUGUAGCGCGACUAGCGCCGUCGCGCAAUAUUGAGGCGCGCAGGUCACGGUGACCGCCAACUAUGCUCAAGCAUGGGGCUGAGGCCACAAGCCUUGGGGACAGGGGCGGGGGGCACGGAGCUAUGCAUCUGCAGAGCGCUCGGUUUUCGGAGAGGGGAGCUGAAGCUCGGAGGCGGCUCCUCCAUGCUCCAGUUGAGCGCUGGAAAAACCCGGCGCGCGGGCAGGCCAGGGACGGCGGGAACAAAGGCGGCCGGGGCCGGAUGCAGUCAUGGAAAAACCCAUCGGGGCGCCGGCGCGGGGGCGGCGCGCCUGGCAGCGGCCGCAGCAGCAGCAGCAUCUAGCCGGCCGUUCGGGCGGGCGGGGCCGCUCCCUGCCGGAACCACCACGAGCAAGGGGAGGUCCCGGGAGCGGGAAAAUGCGGGACGGGUCACUAGUCCCCGGAGUCGCCACGCUCCGGGUGCCUGCAAACACUGCGGGCUCGCGGUCGUGCACCCGCCUGGUGCAUGCGAAGUCUUGCACACGGCCCCUUGGCGGGUGGACCAAAGUGCAGCAGCGGGUCGGGUCGCAGCGACCACGUGGGGGGCGCGCACGGAGCCCACACUGGCUCGCACACGCACGCUCCGGUGUGCACACGAUGACUUCCACGCACGUGCGCCCAGACACGCGAGCUGCCCGCAACUCCCGGGGCAGAAGGAAGGAAACAGUCGGGCAGGAAGGGGAGGAAAUGAAAUAGAGGCUCGUUAGGGCGGGCCCCCAGGGCGAGACACUGGAACCUCAGAGGAGCGGGAGGCGGGGGUGGGGAGGCUUUGAAGAAGCCACUUUUAGGACGGCCCCCCACUUUACAGGUGCUGGCUCCGGGCCUCCCACGGCCGGACGUGCCCAGUUCCCGCCUCCGGGCCAGAGUUCCCUCUCGUGCCGGCCGCUGCCCAGCCUAGUCUCGUCUCGUCUAUUUGGCUGCAGAUCUGGAGAGGUGGCGCCCCGACUUUUUUUUUUUUUAAUUCCUGUAGAAACGGAAAGUAUUAGUGCUAGAUGGACCCAUUGACUCCCAAACCUUUUCCUGUUUGAUUCCCCCCCCCCCUCUUUAAUGAAGGAGGAACUGAGCUCGGUGGUGGGAGUUGGCACAGACUCAUCUUAGUUCAUAUAUGUUCCCAUGUUUACUUGUGCUGCUGCCUAUUACCGGGUGGGACAAAGCCUGGCCUGGGGAGCGUGCUCUGCGCACGGUGGGGGUGAACUGCUCAUGGCUACGGUGGCCUAGAGCCUACUUCUGGGAGCAGAAAAGC